CUGAGGGUAGUAAAAAAAGGGCUGAAUUGGUUCGUCCCAAAGUAAGUGUAGGGUAGAUUAUGGUUGCGUCUUGUUGUUGUUGUUUUGAUAUAUAUUAAGUGUAUAAACAUCGAAUUCAUUUGUAGGCAAGGUUGCAGCCUAAUGGGAAUGAUUGUGGAUAUUAUGUGAUGAAGAAUAUGCUUGACAUUGUCUCUGCUAAUAUUACUAAGUCUUGGAAUGAGGUAUUCAAUGAUCCAACGGCAUUAACAGAAGAAGAGUUGUAUGAUUUGCGAAACAGUUGGGCAACUUGUUUUCUAGAGUUGAUUAAACCUUAGAAUUUAUCAGAUUGAUUGAAUUGCUGGGAAUUUUGCUGAUAUGGACAGUAGAUUGGUGGAGAGAUGAUUGAAUGGAUUCAUAUGAGGCACUUUUUCUGCUGAAUUGCGUGGCUCAGAAUUUCAAGUGGUAGUGAAUCUCUUUUUGUUGUAUUGGUGGUCUUGGAGGCUUGGUAAAAUUUGGGAUAGGCACUAACAUUUGGGCAGUUUGUUGCCUUUGGAUUAGUAGCUUUAGAGUUCUUACUACCUUAGUCUUUUCUUUAGCUUAGCUAGUUUAUCUUUAGCUUAGCUAGUUUUGGUUACUUUGUAUUUUGGCUUUGGACCGUUUCCUUGGUUUUUUCCAAAAAAUAUUUGGCAAUGCAUGAUCAAUUAUUAAUGAUCAAUGAAUAUUCAGCUCAAAUU